GGCCAGAGUGGUAUAGUGGUUUGAGCAUUGGACUAUGACUCUAGAGACCAAGGUUUGAAUCCCAGCUUGGCCA
rnacentral:tRNA from 1 species